GACUAGCCAGCUACAUAUCCUUUUUAAUUUUUUUUAAAAAUUUUCGUAUCUGCAUUUGAGGCAUUAUAACACUGUCAAAACUUGCAGCAUCCAUAUAUGCCAACUGUUGGACCAACUAUGUCAUACCCUCCAUUGAGUAAUCUAGAGGAUUUGAGAAGAUUUCAAGAGAGUAGCCAAGUACAUGUCCUUUUUAUUUAUUUUUUAAAAUUUUUUAGGCUUUCUAAUAAUGUGCCUAAUGCCAGCAUCCCUCGAUGACAAUUGUUCGACCGAGUAUGCCAUACCCUCACUUGAGUAAUCUGGAGGAAUUGAGAAGAUUUCAAGAAAUUGGCAAGCAUUCGACUGAAAAGACCCCCCCAACAUGCAAGUAAGUCAUCAACUAUGCCUACUAGUGUUGACUUUGAAAUGACUAAUGAACCUUUAUCUGAAGUAAUUAAAGAGAUAAAGGUUGAGG